UGGGGAAUCUUGCACAAUGGGCGCAAGCCUGAUGCAGCAACGCCGCGUGCGGGAAGACGGCCCUAGGGUUGUAAACCGCUUUCAGCAGGGAAGAAACUGACGGUACCUGCAGAAGAAGAUGCGGCCAACUACGUGCCAGCAGCCGCGGUGACACGUAGGCAUCAAGCGUUAUCCGGAUUUAUUGGGCGUAAAGAGCUCGUAGGCGGUUCGGUAAGUCGGGUGUGAAAACUCUGGGCUCAACCCAGAGAGGCCACUCGAUACUGCUGUGACUAGAGUGCGGUAGGGGAGCGGGGAAUUCCUGGUGUAGCGGUGAAAUUCGUAGAUAUCAGGAGGAACACCGGUGGCGAAGGCGGGUCUCUGGGCCGGAACUGACGCUGAGGUGCGAAAGUGUGGGGAGCAAACAGGAUUAGAUACCCUGGUAGUCCACACCGUAAAACGAUGAAUGCUAGUCGUCGGCAGGCAUGCCUGUCGGUGACGCAGCUAACGCAUUAAGCACUCCGCCUGGG
rnacentral:rRNA from 1 species